AAAUGCGAUAAGUAAUGUGAAUUGCAGAAUUCCGUGAAUCAUCGAAUCUUUGAACGCACAUUGCGCCCCUUGGUAUUCCAUGGGGCAUGCCUGUUCGAGCGUCAUUUGUACCCUCAAGCUCUGCUUGGUGUUGGGUGUUUGUCCCCGUCUCCGCGCGUGGACUCGCCCCAAAGUGAUUGGCAGCCGGCGUACUGGUCCCGGAGCGCAGCACAUGUCGCGCAAACGAGUGCCUUGGUACGGCGGCGUCCAUAAGCCCCUCUCUCACGCUCUUGACCUCGGAUCAGGUAGGGAUACCCGCUGAACUUAAGC
rnacentral:misc_RNA from 1 species